rnacentral:rRNA from 1 species
CGGGGUGGAGUAACGCGUGGGUAACCUGCCUCAUACAGGGGGAUAACGGUUAGAAAUGACUGCUAAUACCGCAUAAGCGCACAGUACCGCAUGGUACGGUGUGAAAAACUACCGGUGGUAUGAGAUGGACCCGCGUCUGAUUAGCUAGUUGGUGAGGUAACGGCCCACCAAGGCGACGAUCAGUAGCCGACCUGAGAGGGUGACCGGCCACAUUGGGACUGAGACACGGCCCAG